UACGUAGGGUGCGAGCGUUAAUCGGAAUUACUGGGCGUAAAGCGUGCGCAGGCGGUUUUGUAAGCCAGAUGUGAAAUCCCCGGGCUUAACCUGGGAAUGGCAUUUGGGACUGCAAGGCUUGAGUGCGGCAGAGGAGACUGGAAUUCCUGGUGUAGCAGUGAAAUGCGUAGAUAUCAGGAGGAACACCGAUGGCGAAGGCAGGUCUCUGGGCUGACACUGACGCUCAUGCACGAAAGCGUGGGAAGCAAACAGG
rnacentral:rRNA from 1 species